AGCGUACACGGUGGAUGCCCUGGCAGUCAGAGGCGAUGAAGGACGUGCUAAUCUGCGAUAAGCUCGGUAAGGUGAUAUGAACCGUUAUAACCGGCGAUUUCCGAAUGGGGAAACCCAGUGUGAUUCGUCACACUAUCAUUAACUGAAUCCAUAGGUUAAUGAGGCGAACCGGGGGAACUGAAACAUCUAAGUACCCCGAGGAAAAGAAAUCAACCGAGAUUCCCCCAGUAGCGGCGAGCGAACGGGGAGCAGCCCAGAGCCUGAAUCAGUGUGUGUGUUAGUGGAAGCGUCUGGAAAGGCGUGCGAUACAGGGUGACAGCCCCGUACACAAAAAUGCACAUACUGUGAGCUCGAUGAGUAGGGCGGGACACGUGGUAUCCUGUCUGAAUAUGGGGGGACCAUCCUCCAAGGCUAAAUACUCCUGACUGACCGAUAGUGAACCAGUACCGUGAGGGAAAGGCGAAAAGAACCCCGGCGAGGGGAGUGAAAAAGAACCUGAAACCGUGUACGUACAAGCAGUGGGAGCACGCUUAGGCGUGUGACUGCGUACCUUUUGUAUAAUGGGUCAGCGACUUAUAUUCUGUAGCAAGGUUAACCGAAUAGGGGAGCCGAAGGGAAACCGAGUCUUAACUGGGCGUUAAGUUGCAGGGUAUAGACCCGAAACCCGGUGAUCUAGCCAUGGGCAGGUUGAAGGUUGGGUAACACUAACUGGAGGACCGAACCGACUAAUGUUGAAAAAUUAGCGGAUGACUUGUGGCUGGGGGUGAAAGGCCAAUCAAACCGGGAGAUAGCUGGUUCUCCCCGAAAGCUAUUUAGGUAGCGCCUCGUGAAUUCAUCUCCGGGGGUAGAGCACUGUUUCGGCAAGGGGGUCAUCCCGACUUACCAACCCGAUGCAAACUGCGAAUACCGGAGAAUGUUAUCACGGGAGACACACGGCGGGUGCUAACGUCCGUCGUGAAGAGGGAAACAACCCAGACCGCCAGCUAAGGUCCCAAAGUCAUGGUUAAGUGGGAAACGAUGUGGGAAGGCCCAGACAGCCAGGAUGUUGGCUUAGAAGCAGCCAUCAUUUAAAGAAAGCGUAAUAGCUCACUGGUCGAGUCGGCCUGCGCGGAAGAUGUAACGGGGCUAAACCAUGCACCGAAGCUGCGGCAGCGACGCUUAUGCGUUGUUGGGUAGGGGAGCGUUCUGUAAGCCUGUGAAGGUGUGCUGUGAGGUAUGCUGGAGGUAUCAGAAGUGCGAAUGCUGACAUAAGUAACGAUAAAGCGGGUGAAAAGCCCGCUCGCCGGAAGACCAAGGGUUCCUGUCCAACGUUAAUCGGGGCAGGGUGAGUCGACCCCUAAGGCGAGGCCGAAAGGCGUAGUCGAUGGGAAACAGGUUAAUAUUCCUGUACUUGGUGUUACUGCGAAGGGGGGACGGAGAAGGCUAUGUUGGCCGGGCGACGGUUGUCCCGGUUUAAGCGUGUAGGCUGGUUUUCCAGGCAAAUCCGGAAAAUCAAGGCCGAGGCGUGAUGACGAGGCACUACGGUGCUGAAGCAACAAAUGCCCUGCUUCCAGGAAAAGCCUCUAAGCAUCAGGUAACAUCAAAUCGUACCCCAAACCGACACAGGUGGUCAGGUAGAGAAUACCAAGGCGCUUGAGAGAACUCGGGUGAAGGAACUAGGCAAAAUGGUGCCGUAACUUCGGGAGAAGGCACGCUGAUACGUAGGUGAAGCGACUUGCUCGUGGAGCUGAAAUCAGUCGAAGAUACCAGCUGGCUGCAACUGUUUAUUAAAAACACAGCACUGUGCAAACACGAAAGUGGACGUAUACGGUGUGACGCCUGCCCGGUGCCGGAAGGUUAAUUGAUGGGGUUAGCGCAAGCGAAGCUCUUGAUCGAAGCCCCGGUAAACGGCGGCCGUAACUAUAACGGUCCUAAGGUAGCGAAAUUCCUUGUCGGGUAAGUUCCGACCUGCACGAAUGGCGUAAUGAUGGCCAGGCUGUCUCCACCCGAGACUCAGUGAAAUUGAACUCGCUGUGAAGAUGCAGUGUACCCGCGGCAAGACGGAAAGACCCCGUGAACCUUUACUAUAGCUUGACACUGAACAUUGAGCCUUGAUGUGUAGGAUAGGUGGGAGGCUUUGAAGUGUGGACGCCAGUCUGCAUGGAGCCGACCUUGAAAUACCACCCUUUAAUGUUUGAUGUUCUAACGUGGACCCGUGAUCCGGGUUGCGGACAGUGUCUGGUGGGUAGUUUGACUGGGGCGGUCUCCUCCUAAAGAGUAACGGAGGAGCACGAAGGUUGGCUAAUCCUGGUCGGACAUCAGGAGGUUAGUGCAAUGGCAUAAGCCAGCUUGACUGCGAGCGUGACGGCGCGAGCAGGUGCGAAAGCAGGUCAUAGUGAUCCGGUGGUUCUGAAUGGAAGGGCCAUCGCUCAACGGAUAAAAGGUACUCCGGGGAUAACAGGCUGAUACCGCCCAAGAGUUCAUAUCGACGGCGGUGUUUGGCACCUCGAUGUCGGCUCAUCACAUCCUGGGGCUGAAGUAGGUCCCAAGGGUAUGGCUGUUCGCCAUUUAAAGUGGUACGCGAGCUGGGUUUAGAACGUCGUGAGACAGUUCGGUCCCUAUCUGCCGUGGGCGCUGGAGAACUGAGGGGGGCUGCUCCUAGUACGAGAGGACCGGAGUGGACGCAUCACUGGUGUUCGGGUUGUCAUGCCAAUGGCACUGCCCGGUAGCUAAAUGCGGAAGAGAUAA
rnacentral:rRNA from 1 species